CGAAUGCCCCCGCCGAGCACUUCAAAUCAUUUGCACACGAGCGACACGUCCGCCGGGCUCCGAAGCCGGAGGCCGCUCGCUCCGGCGGGACGCAGGAAACGUCCCGUUACGGGUCGCCGCUGGAAGUCACGGAGCCCGAAUGGAGACGUUAGCAUCCAAAGCGACGGCGUGCAGCGCGUUGCUCGCAGAGCUCCACGAGGGUUGGAAAGUUCUACGUACUAACUUAACUUAACUUUACAGGACUUCACCGAGCAGAAAAAGAAGAAGAAGAAAAAAAAUCUCCGACGACCGUCGAUGAUAUUUUCGUUCCAGGCGAUAGCUGGAGCCCGUCGCGGCCAGUUAAUUAGCCGACGUUAGUUUUUCCAACUCUCAGCCGAGCGUACGGUGGCUUCACAGAAAGCCGGUGACCGAAGCGAAUACUGUCGCGAGCCAAACGCACGAGCUCGGUAUGGACCUCGGUCUGCUUCCUAAAUGUAGUGUCAUAGCGUUUACUUCAACUGAUAAAGCGGUAACUUCCAGCCGGUUUUAUGAGUUAGUGUUCACCCCAGUACUUAGUCAGAGCCCAAAAACCCAAGAACAUCCUUUACCUUGAAGCGUUUUAAACCAGCAGCAGCAAACGUCGUCUGCUCCUCAUGCACCGAAGUACAGAGCUACUGCUACCAGACCAACGACCACAAUGCAUUAGCUAUUUAUUCCAGAGUUAGCAUUGCUAGGUCUCCACUUGAAAAGCUAGCCACUACUGAGUUAGCUGGCUAGUUCCCAUUGACUCCCGGUCCAGCCCGUGCAGUAGUAUAAUACGUGUACACAACAGCCUGCGGAGCGCAGACACACGGCGGCCUACCAAAUGUUUACAUCGCACGGCGCAUGCGCAGUCAGCUCACGCGACUCGACAGCACCGCCACGUGUUCGUGAGGAAGAACCGCACCUUAAAAACCCCGAACUAGUUCCACUUUUUUUUUUCAUUUCUCCAAAAAGAGUAAAGAUUGAAAAUACUUGUUGUUGUGGGUGGAAGAGAAAAUAGAAGUGUGUUUUAUUUCGCAAACUAACCUCUUUCUGUAUAGCACAGCCGACGUUGAGUUGGAUUUGUAAAAUCUAAAUAAGGGUCACGCAUGUUGUCCUGGUUGGACCAUCUGUAAUCGCUGUCUUAAAACCAGUAACUAGUGGAGUGUGUUCUAUGUCAUUAGGGUUUUCCACUAACAUUCACCUCCUGGAGGCCUGAGCUCCCACCAGAGCGAUCUUCACUUAUACUGAUACUUACUUUGUGGUUCAUAAGUCACCUUUUCUAUGUAUAGCACUGUUGUAGAGCACAGACAGAACAUUAUUUAGACAUUUUAUCUUGAAUUUUAGAAACUUUACAUGUCAGGGAUGCAUUGAAAUUGUCCUCAAUGUCAACAAUAGGAUACAAUAUUUCAAAUAUGGUAGCACCAAAGACAGGAGGGCAGAGCGUAUGAGACCAUGUGUUAUGAAAAGGGAGCAUCUCAGCCAUGUCCCUGUUACUCACACGUUCACCAGGUACAUGACUGCGUGUCCCCCCCAUCUAUGAGAUUUAUUCAAGUGAAAGUGAAGGUUGAGCCCAGCAUAUUAGGUUCCAGCUUCCUUGUCAGUACUCUUUGAUCACUUACCUCAAGUUCAUUGCUGAGAAAAAAUAUACUUUUGUUCGGGUAGACUUGAGGUUCGAACACCGGCGCGUCAGUGGACAUUCAAUUAAUGGACGUUAUCCUCUUAGUUAAAUCGGAAAAUAACCAGCAAUCAACUUGUGAAAAGUCUGAUCUUCGGCAGUAGACAGUCCUCAAAAAAUAAAAACCAUCAACCGAAAUCCAAAUGAACUCAUGUAAAGUGGAAACCGACGAGGAGCUCCUUCUCUUCGUCUAAGCUGACUUUAACUCAGCUGUCAAUUGAAACUCAUGAGGUGACCACAUCCCUCCUCUGGUGAAAGCCGAGUGCCUCGACUCACAUACCGAACAGUUUUGUAGCUUACUUUUCAGGUUUUCCGUGGGAGCGGUGACGCACGUCUUUUGUUGGUGGUUGAACACUCCUCUGCCCAUUGAAGGAGCUGAACAGCAGCUGACGUUGGAGGUUGGAGGUGGAAACAACAUGGAGACUGUGUACCACGCCAUCUGAUACCCCGUCACAACAAUCAAUCUCCGUCUGACAGACGUAAAUAAUUAGAGAGCUACGAGCACAGGGCGGAGUACUAAUUGCCCGUAAUGCAGGUUAAAAGCCACAAAAGUUAUUCAAAUGCAAUGAAAAUGAACGCUAACAAAUAUCAGUAGAUUUGUGUUGGGCAGGUGAGCAAAGGCCGAAAUCAUUUAUUGGAAUUAGAUUUGAAAUUGACCUAUUACUCGUUUAAGUGUGGCUGUGCUGGUAUUGUUUGCAGUCCCGCCCUCAUCCCCAGAUGUUCUCUACUGAUGCUCACUGGCUAAAUAAAGGAUGGAGUUUCUGCUCGAUGGGUAAUAAUACCUGACUCAGCAUGGUGACCCCUGAAGCUGUAGUGGUAGAUAUUAUCUCUGAAUAGCACCAAUGACACUAUCUUCCAGAGUCCACUAGGAGUAGACGGUUGAAUCUACUCUUGAUUGAACAAAGGGAUACUUCAGUAUAAACUAAAAGACAAGCUUCACAUUGAAGGCACCAAAAGAGUUUUAGUUCAGCUUUCAUUUGCAAAGUGCACCUAAAACUGGCACUGCAACUUACUGACAUGUCAUACUAAUAAUGAGAGUGCAGAAAGGGUCGACGGCAGCAAUCUGCAGGAUCGUAGCCGACCCCUCUCACCCCGGACAAAAACAGUUUGUGCCCCCAUGUGGCAGGAGGCUGAAGUCCAUCAGGACCAAGACCUCCGGCCACACAAACAGUUUCCUCCUCAUCAACAGAGCCCGUGUGACUGACUGACUCUGACAUCCCACCGGUCACUCCCUUCACACUCCACAUGCACACACACAUACACACGUCACUUUCACAUACACUCACAACACAGUUGUGUAGAGAAUGGCUAUCUAUUUGCUGUUGCACUUUAUUUUUAACUUGUAUUCCUUUAUUUUUUAACUAACCCAUAGCCUUAUAUUUUAUUUUAUUUUAUUGCACUAUGUCGUCUUAUCUGUCUUGUUGCCCAUUGUCUACUGUUAUGCACCAACCGCCAAGUAAAAUUCCUUGUAUGUCUGACAUAUUUUGGUAAUAAAUGUGUCCUCAUCCUGAUAAAUAUAGAAACACAAAAGUUUUUUGCCUUUUCAAAUUAAGGGACUGAUCUGAGAGUUCAUGUAUUCAUAAUCAACAGCUGAGAGUCUAUUUUCAGCAUGAAGCGUCUUGUUAAUGCUGCAAACGAGGAGGCAGACGAGUUGAAAGAGUAGGAGUGUUGCUCUUUGUUUGAAAGAAAACAAAAGAAGGAACGGCGAGAUGAGUGGAUUUGGGGUUGGGUGAAAGUGAGACAACUUUCGUUCCAACGUUCCAUUCAUACCACGGCAUCCCUUUAAUAUACCUCUGUGUGUAUCCAGUUAAUUAUAAAAAAUGUUGAGAUGUCCUCAGCUUUACCCUGAUUACUUUUUAAAGAAAAUGCACAAUGUCAUGGCAUAAGAUCUAUUGAAACCACAACACGAUUAAUACUACACAUUGGCCUCAAAACCCUGGCAAAGCCCCCGGUCUGGACUCAGUCUUCCCCCCACACCCUGAAGCAUUGUGCUGACCAGCUGUCUCCGGUGUUCACUGACAUCUUCAACACCUCCCUGGAGACAUGCCACGUACCAGCCUGCUUCAAGGCCUCCACCAUCAUCCCUGUUCCCAAGAAGCCCAGGAUCACAGGACUCAAUGACUACAGGCCCGUCACCCUGACCUCUAGUCAUGAAGUCUUUUGAACGGCUAGUCCUGUCCCACCUGAAGACCCUCACCGACCCCCUCCUGGACCCCCUUGUAGUUCGUCUACAGAGCCAACAGGCCUGUCUCAGCCUCUCGGUCCAUCAGCACGGGUUCCCCCCAGGCCUGCGUUCUUUCCCCUCUGUUCUUCUCCCUAUAACACCACCAGCUGCACCUCCAGCCACCAGUCCACCAUCAGGCUCCUGAAGUUUGCAGAUGACACCACCCUCAUUGGACUGAUCUAACUAGAUCCUGGCGUAGGUUCCAGAUUGAAGAAGUGGAGGGCCAUGUUUACCGCGUCCUCUAAUGACCUGUUGGCUCUGUAGGCAAACUGCAGGGGGUCCAGGAGGGGGUAGGUAAAGGUUUUUAGGUGGGACAAGACAAGGCGCUCAAAAGAUGUCAUGACUACAGAGGUCAGGGCGAUGGGUCUGUAGUCCUUAAGUCUUGUGAUCCAAGGCUUUUUGGGGGACGGGGAUGAUGGUGGAGGCCUUGAGGCCGGCUGCUAUGUGGCAUGUCUCCGGGGAGUGAGGAUGCAUCCCAAAGGGGGUGAACAGCUUAAUGUUUGAUCAAAGUUGUGAAUGAGUAUGUGGUGGAAAGCCCCUCUCAAACCGCCCCCAUUCUGGCAGUAUGAAUAGAAUAGAUACAAUGAAAUAAAUGAGAUACAUGUGUUGUCGUUUCAGUGAAAUAGAAACCGUGUCCAGAUUUGAAUCACACUCAUAAUAAUUAUAUUCCGGGCAAAAGGCAGUCUAAGAGUGGAGUAAGGAGCGCUGUUAUUUGGGUAAAUGGCAGCACCAGGUCGACAGGGGGCAGAGUGUUGAAUCCUCGGCGGCGCGCGGCCGACCGGCUCAUCCUGUGACGCGCUACUUACGGAG
ensembl:lncRNA